UCCGUUACCCGGGUUGCGGACAGUGUCUGGUGGGUAGUUUGACUGGGGCGGUCUCCUCCUAAAGAGUAACGGAGGAGCACGAAGGUUGGCUAAUCCUGGUCGGACAUCAGGAGGUUAGUGCAAUGGCAUAAGCCAGCUUGACUGCGAGCGUGACGGCGCGAGCAGGUGCGAAAGCAGGUCAUAGUGAUCCGGUGGUUCUGAAUGGAAGGGCCAUCGCUCAACGGAUAAAAGGUACUCCGGGGAUAACAGGCUGAUACCGCCCAAGAGUUCAUAUCGACGGCGGUGUUUGGCACCUCGAUGUCGGCUCAUCACAUCCUGGGGCUGAAGUAGGUCCCAAGGGUAUGGCUGUUCGCCAUUUAAAGUGGUACGCGAGCUGGGUUUAGAACGUCGUGAGACAGUUCGGUCCCUAUCUGCCGUGGGCGCUGGAGAACUGAGGGGGGCUGCUCCUAGUACGAGAGGACCGGAGUGGACGCAUCACUGGUGUUCGGGUUGUCAUGCCAAUGGCACUGCCCGGUAGCUAAAUGCGGAAGAGAUAAGUGCUGAAAGCAUCUAAGCACGAAACUUGCCCCGA
rnacentral:rRNA from 1 species